rnacentral:rRNA from 1 species
CGGCAGGCCUAACUCAUGCAAGUCGAGGGGUAAGGUUCAGCUUGCUGAAUACACGACCGGCGCACGGGUGAGUAUCGCGUAUGCAACCUACCUUAAACUGGAGAAUACCGCGAGAAAUCGGGAUUAAUGCUCCAUAACAAUCAGCAAUCGCAUGGUUACUGGUUUAAAGCUCCGGCGGUUUAAGAUGGGCAUGCGUGUCAUUAGCUAGUUGGUGAGGUAAUAGCUCACCAAGGCCACGAUGACUAGGGGUUCUGAGAGGAUCGUCCCCCACACUGGUACUGAGACACGGACCAGACUCCUACGGGAGGCAGCAGUGAGGAAUAUUGGUCAAUGGGCGCAAGCCUGAACCAGCCAUGCCGCGUGCAGGAUGACGGCCCUAUGGGUUGUAAACUGCUUUUCUACGGGAAAAAUGGCCUGGAUUCGCUCCGGGAUUGAUGGUACCGUAGGAAUAAGCAUCGGCUAACUCCGUGCCAGCAGCCGCGGUAAUACGGAGGAUGCAAGCGUUAUCCGGAUUCAUUGGGUUUAAAGGGUGCGUAGGCGGAAUGGUAAGUCAGUGGUGAAAUCUUUCGGCUCAACCGGAAAAUUGCCAUUGAUACUGCUAUUCUUGAGUACAGUUGAAGUAGGCGGAAUGCGUCAUGUAGCGGUGAAAUGCAUAGAUAUGACGCAGAACACCGAUUGCGAAGGCAGCUUACUAAACUGAUACUGACGCUGAGGCACGAAAGCGUGGGGAGCAAACAGGAUUAGAUACCCUGGUAGUCCACGCUGUAAACGAUGAUCACUCGUUGUUGGCGAUAUACUGUCAGCGACUGAGCGAAAGUAUUAAGUGAUCCACCUGGGGAGUACGGCCGCAAGGUUGAAACUCAAAGGAAUUGACGGGGGCCCGCACAAGCGGAGGAGCAUGUGGUUUAAUUCGAUGAUACGCGAGGAACCUUACCUGGGCUUAAAUGUAGAGUGCCGUAGGCCGAAAGGCCUGCUUCCUUCGGGACGCUCUACAAGGUGCUGCAUGGUUGUCGUCAGCUCGUGCCGUGAGGUGUCGGGUUAAGUCCCAUAACGAGCGCAACCCCUACCCUUAGUUGCCAUCAGGUUAUGCUGGGAACUCUAAGGGAACUGCCUACGCAAGUAGUGAGGAAGGUGGGGAUGACGUCAAAUCAGCACGGCCCUUAUGUCCAGGGCUACACACGUGCUACAAUGGCUGGUACAGAGGGCAGCUACCUGGCGACAGGAUGCUAAUCUCCAAAACCAGUCUCAGUCUGGAUUGAAGUCUGCAACUCGACUUCAUGAAAGUGGAUUCGCUAGUAAUCGCACAUCAGCCAUGGUGCGGUGAAUACGUUCCCGGGCCUUGUACACACCGCCCGUCAAGCCAUGGAAGUCGGAGGUACCUGAAGUCCGUGACCCUCAAGGAGCGGCACUAGGGUAAA